CACUCCUGCGGGAGGCAGCAGUGGGGAAUCUUGCGCGAUGGGCGAAAGCCUGACGCAGCCAUGCCGCGUGAAUGAUGAAGGUCUUAGGAUUGUAAAAUUCUUUCACCGGGGACGAUAAUGACGGUACCCGGAGAAGAAGCCCCGGCUAACUUCGUGCCAGCAGCCGCGGUAAUACGAAGGGGGCUAGCGUUGCUCGGAAUUACUGGGCGUAAAGGGAGCGUAGGCGGACAUUUAAGUCAGGGGUGAAAUCCCGGGGCUCAACCUCGGAAUUGCCUUUGAUACUGGGUGUCUUGAGUAUGAGAGAGGUGUGUGGAACUCCGAGUGUAGAGGUGAAAUUCGUAGAUAUUCGGAAGAACACCAGUGGCGAAGGCGACACACUGGCUCAUUACUGACGCUGAGGCUCGAAAGCGUGGGGAGCAAACAGGAUUAGAAACCCUGGUAGUCC
rnacentral:rRNA from 1 species